GCUGUGAAAUGGGAUCACGCUCUGCCAGGGAGCUCCAGUGCCUACGUGCCUCACCGAAAUCGUGACGAAUUCUCACUCCCAGCCCACCACGUGAGUCGUGUGGUGCCUCUGAACAAAUCAGGCUCUCCUUUCUUGUGGUUUCCAGCUGCUGAGGUCUACGAACAUCACUCUGGUGGAUCUCGCUGUUCUUCACGUGGCUCUGCUGGAGGGGCAGGAAGAGGGAGAGGUGCCCAAGCUGGUCCUCCACCCGCUCUCCUUCCAACAUACCUGGCUUCAAGGAGUGACCUAAAUGAGAAGAGCUCCUCCUUGCUGACCAGCUGCUAACCAGGGCUGCCAGGAACCCUGUGGUCAUUUUGAUGUCCUUCUGGAACAGACAAGUGUGGCUUUCAGCCCACAACAAGGCACCAUGUUACUAAUUGGGCUGGUGGGGCUACGUGGGAUCGUCACUGUCACACUAGGAGGGGAUGGGGAGCACUCGGUGGGGGGCUCUGCCAGGGUCCUGGCACACAGGAUGAGCCCUGAGCAUCAAAACCUCACAUGUAGCAAAAACUCGUGGUCAAAGGAGUGCUUUUGGCUCCACAGAGGGGCAUUUUUCUCAAGUCAUUAUUUCUUCCCGUAGGAAAGAGAACGUGGGCAUUGCAUGUGACACCAUGUGAUGUGGAAGCAAGAGACAUCGAUGUUCCUUCAAACUCAUGGUCAGGCUUACCCCAGCCUGGGAGGGUGCCAGGGAAUGGUUUCCCUUGUGACUACCUGCUCAUGCUGCAGACAGGACAUUGCUCAGCCCCAUUUGGAUGUGCUUUUCAAGGAGCAUCGCUGACUCCUCUAUAUCCAUGUAUGCAGAGUUGCUUCCACCCAACUGCAGUCUAAGCCACGGACAGCUGUCCUGUUUGAGACCUAGCCCCUCGUAUCUAGCUCCUCUGACCUACUGGCAGGACUCCUUGGAAGGACUAAUUUUCAUCAAGGAGCAGGUCUUCAAGCUGAGUUUUUCCAACCCCCUUCAGCUUCUGUCCCUGCCUCUUGCCUUCCUCCUGUGAAGACAUCAGAUGCUGGAGCUGCUCCAAUCCCUCCCUGCAGGUCUGUUUGUGG